GUUCUGUGCGUUACGGAGUAUAGCACAGAACGUAUGUCUAAACAUAACGCACCGCACAAAACAGGUAUAUGUGCGGUUCGUUCAUGCGUGUGGUUGUCACGUGAGUGAUGGUCACUCAGGUGGACACAGGCGGGAAUUUGCACGGGGUGUUGAUUGUUUGGUCAGUUCUACGCUAGACUUCGAUCAGUAAACUUGUCUUCGUGUACAAAUCCUACAUCGUGUUGUCGACCUAAGCAGAACACAGGGUGUCCAUGCUGCAAGAUUUGGAACGCAUCAUAGAAAAGAUAAGUGCUAAAAGAAACGUAAAUCUGUUAAAUCCGUUAUACUGAAUCUCGAGCAUAGUAUCGAGUGUUACGAAGUAGUAACAGAGUUGAAACGAUGUAUAGUUCAAGUAACAAUUUGAGCACAAGAGAAUCCGAUCAAUUUACAAAUAAAAAUAUUGAUGGCACGCGACCGAAAAUUCACAGGUCAUUAAUGGUAGAACACGACAAAAGCUUUCGAACUUACCGGGGAAUAAAUUGCUAUUCUUUGUGGUGUUGUAUACAUUCUAUAUGUAUAUGUGUAAAUGUUUUGCGAGUCUGAUGACGUAAUGUUAUUUGCAGAAAAAUACAAGGUAGAGGCGAUGGCAUAUAAAAAGGCGGAAACAACGCCACGCGGCGCUCUUGACGGGUCAUAUCAGAAGCCGGAAGCUUCAUCUAACAUCGCAACACAAGGGGCUAAAACUCAAUUACCAUUGAGACGCACAGGACUAUGUUUCGCAUGUGGCGAACCGGGUCAUCGGAGAGGAGCAGCUGGAUGUUCAGCAAACAGCUCGACCAAUAAGUUAAGUUAAUUAUGUAUAGAACCCCGUUAUCAGAAAAUGGGUAGUUUCGUGUUCGUCGGAAAACGUAACGUACAGAAAGUUCCUAAAGUCGAACGUGAUCAAAAGGAUCCAUGUAUAGUUCGCCGGUAAGUUGAAGGAAGGCCCACGCGGUUAAGUAGCAGGAGACUACUGAUAGUAAGUACAUUUUCGAUGUAGUAAAUGGCGGUUAUAAGUUUAUUUUUUUCCGUCGGAAAACGGCAACGUACAAAAAGAUCUGUCUCAAUGUAUCAAAAGGAUCUUAUUAUAAAACUGGAUCAAAAGGAUCAUAGUAUAGAAAUUGAUGCUAGAAGCUCGCCGGAAAAAAAGAACGAAAGCCCAUGUAGCCAAACUGUAACAGGCUUCGGAUGGUUGUUACAUUUUAGAUGUAGUAAAUUGCGGUUAUAUGUUUCCUUUUCCGUCGGAAAACGGUAACGUACAGAAAGAGAUAAAAGGAGCAAUUGAUCAAAAGGAUCAUAGAAUAGAAAUUUAUCAUAAAGGAAAAAAUCAUAGAAAAAAUAAAUAAAUAUAUAUAUUGUUACCGGAAGUUUGUCGGUUAGUAGACUGAAAACCCACGUGACAUUUAUCAUGUUGUCAAUACGCCCGUUAAUACGUUUAUAGUCGUAUUUAAUAAGAAUGGGAGGCCUCGAUAUAUUUAAAAUUAUUAUUUAUUUAUUUGUUCUACUUUCGAUAUUAGAGGGGCGUAUCAUGAUAUUGAUACAUUCACGAACGGUGUGGUUUGAGCUAUCAAGAGAAUAGCAGGCAGUGUUAGGUUGUUAUAAGCUUAUAUUUGGCACGAUAACAGCCGAUCAUAUAUUUACUAAAACUCGUUAAAACUAAAAUGAGGUGUACUAGCAUUCUUACGUCAAAUUGACUUAAAAUAGUUAUUUGCUUUUGUGAUGUUGGCAUACAUCACAGUGUAGAAUAUGAAAAAACAUUAUAUGCUAGUGACUAGACGAGUUUGGAUGUUAACUGGCUGAAGAAACAGUAUUUUGAUUCCUUCUCAGAGAGUAGAAUGGCUCAGGCAUGUGAUCGAUAUGCAUAAAAUGCAGUUUUUCAUAAUUAAAAAUUGAGUAGCUAGGCUAGAAAAAAGUAUUGAUUCGAUGAUCUAUCUAAUUUAUCAAACGAAAGAAAAAGUAGUACUAAAAGAUAAAUUAAUAGCUAGUCUUGUAGGGCAGAUAAUUUCCUUUCAGAGUGUGAUUGUAAAUAAAGUUUGUGAUAACAAUGCAUAUAUACAAUUGCAUAAAUACCAGAGCUAGUUGGAAAGCUCCCGUUAUUGUAACGUCGCAAGCUAUUUCCAAACUUAGAUUAUGGAAAGAAAGCACUAGGCAGUUAAUCAACGGUGGAAAGAUUUCAAACACAAUCAGUUUUGUGUGUGUAAUAUAUUUGCUGAUGCAAGUACCACACGUUAUGGUUUAUGGAGGUUUUAUAGAAAGUUGUAGCUUUAAUGUAGAUACAGGCGAAAUGACUGUCAAGCUAACGAUUUUCAUAAAAAUAAAAAAGCAAAUUUAUUUUCAAUUUGUUUUAUUCCAAUGACGAAGAGAGUAAAUGUAUGUACUCGUGGUCUUUGAGACCCGAAAAUGAGAAAAUUGGAAUGUACAUGAUCUUAAUAAAAAGAGCAACCUGUUCCCGGAAGUGAACAGAUUAUUGACGAAAAGAGAUAAGUUAUUCCUGGAAGUGAUUACUAUAUUACACUGUUAAAAUCAAGGAGGUACACUGCCAGUGUUUUUAUAAACGAAACAGGUAAUGAAUAUUGUGAUUUAAUAUGAAGUCAAUACAUUAAGCCACCGGAAGUUGGUUUUCAAGAUAAACCGGAUAAGUAUUCCGUCGUUCAAUAUGACGUAAGUAAAAUUUCUUAUGAUCAAGAAAAUGCCUUGCAUACGGCUAGAAAAGGUAUGUUAUUGCUCCAGGAAGUGAGCAGAAAGAGUUUGCUAUGGUCCCCGGAAGUGGACAUAGAGCCCAGUAGAUUGCUCCCGGAAGUGAGCAGAAUUUGUAGGCUAUGGUCUCCGGAAGUGGACAUAGAGCCCAGUAGAUUGCUCCCGGAAGUGAGCAGAGAUGCUCCAUGAAGAGAGCAGAGAGUAUGCUAUGGUCCCCGGAUGUUAUGUUAUAUGAAAUGUUUUAAAUGCUUUGCAAAAUUCGUACAUCAAAGUGUAUUCAGACAAUAAAAUGUAAAAUCUAUAUUAUUAAAUGGUAGUCAAAAGAAAUAGCUUUAGAUUUAAAUAUGUAGUGUGGAUACUGGAUUCAAUGAAAAGAGGCAGUGGGUGCCUUAGUUCAAUAUGGGGAAACAAUGUAAACUGGUUAGUUCAGAAACUAGGUUGGUAUCAAUCUGUAUCAAUAAGAUGAUAUCGGAGAAAGCAAAAUGCAUCAUUGUUGUUCCAAAAAGGGGCAGUUCGCCUUAUUGGCUAAUGUUGAUUUGUCAUACGGACACAUUGUGAAAUAUUGCAAAAAGUUUGGUAGAGACUGUAUGAUUCCAGGUUGUUUUGGUAACACUAGAUUAUCAUUAAAUAAGAUAGCGUUAAGAUGCAUAUCACAAUACAGUUAUUGAUGUAUAGUACAUAUGUUUGACAGGAAAUGUUUUGAGAGGUACUCUGAAGGAGCGAUUAGAUGGCUCGGGCUUGCAUGUGCUUCGAAGAGAUCAGAUGGCGGACAGAAUGGCUAAGUAAAUACUUAGAACAAUCAAGAGCAGACAAUACGGUGAAGAAAAGAAUUCUUCAUGUGCACAUUUCAAAUACUGUGAAGAAAAUGUAGUCGCCAUGCCAGCCUAACAUAUAUCAGUAGUAAUGUACAUGGCUCAAUUGAUGGGUCGAGGAAAUCUAAUAACGUUUUUUACAUCUGUGUUUUACAGUAUUAAAUGGAUCCAUUCUAUUAAUAGUGUACAUGAUCCAAAGAAAGAUUUAACAAACUAUUAUAAGAAGCUUCAAAGCGUGUUUGUUUCAAACCAUCUCACAAGAAAGAUUUAUCAUGUACAUGUGCAUUCAUUAGAGAUGAUACAAACAUUGUGUUUGAUAUAAGGAGAUUCCUCUGUUUUCAUUGAUUGAUCAUUUUUGGGUUAUGCAUGUACAUGUAUCAUGAAUAUUAACAAAUUAAGUGAGUUUCAUUGUAAUGACCUACAAUUGAAAUCUGAUCACUUUGUUAUUGAUGUACGCCAUUAUAAUACUGGCAUGUAUACGAAUGGUUCGGAUAUUAUAAUUGCAAAAUGUACAACUACAACUUCCCAUAUGGCGUUUUAUUAACAAAUAUGUAAUUAGAAAAUUGGUCAGAUGAAUCAAAUGAUUUUUGUUCAAACCAGUUAUUGGUUAUAUAUAUGUAAUAAUUUAGACUAGCUAACGCCGAGGGCGUGUUUUAGAGAUGUUUGAAGCGACAUGGUCGAUGGAAGUCUGAUAGGGCUAAAGAUGAGUACAUUGAUGAUUCUCUAGACAAAAAGCUUUUUAUCACUAGACAAUUGAAAUUAUAAUUGAUUUGCGGUUCGAAUUUAAAACCGUACUAACCUUUGUUUUUGUUCUAUCGCAAGCCUUGCCCAAUGCAAAACGUGUUUUGUUUUGUGCUUAGUUGUGUGAAGACUUUUCAGUUCUGUGCGUUACGGAGUAUAGCACAGAACGUAUGUCUAAACAUAACGCACCGCACAAAACAGGUAUAUGUGCGGUUCGUUCAUGCGUGUGGUUGUCACGUGAGUGAUGGUCACUCAGGUGGACACAGGCGGGAAUUUGCACGGGGUGUUGAUUGUUUGGUCAGUUCUACGCUAGACUUUGAUCAGUAAACUUUUACUUUUUUAAAUUCGAACCGCAUUAGUAGUAAAUUGGCUCAAAUGACAUGUUAUGUUUGUGUUACAUAAUGUUUAGUUACAUGUUAAUAUUGGUUGUUUUCAGGUACAGUUUUCCAGAGUUAUUUUACAUUGGGCUUCUGAUGAAUUUUUAUCUCUGGUUUUUACCCUGGCCUUGAAAACACCAAUUAAGGACACAAUACUAAAAGUGAUGUAUACACAUUAUAGUUAUAAUUCGUUAUAUAAUUUAUAGAUCGAAAAUUGUCCUGUCAUGGUUGUACUACGAUUGUUCUUGAUUGCUAUAUGAUACGAAUAUGUAAUAUUCGUGGAUGUGUGUUGUCAAUAAACUGAUCGCAAGCCUU